rnacentral:lncRNA from 1 species
CGCCGGUGACGUCGUCUUGUCCGACGUUCUGGGUGCCAUGGCGAUCUUUCUUUGGUUUCUUUCUUGGUGCUCGCUGAUGGUGCGGUGCGUUGCUGGUGCAGCUGCGGGGUUGCAGACGACGGGGCAAGGAGGGGGAGGGACUUAUAGGAGGGAGGUGGGGGGGUUAAAAGGAGAGGAAAUGGGCGAGCGGAGCGGAUGGUGGAGCGGCAGGGAAUAAAACUCGGCGCAGUCAGGGAGCGGUUUGACUGUCCGCGCCGCCGCCCCUCGUCUUUAGCGUGGCGGCAUUACAAUUCGGCUGGCGUCUUUUUUCCUGCGGACCCAUCAAAAUCAGUAAUUUACAGAUGAGUGAACCUGAUACUGUGAAAUUUUAUUUUCAUCCCACGCAAACAUGGAAAACAGGAGAACUUUUAUUUUAAUUACGGGGAAGGUUUUACACGAACGGUAUAAAGGGA